AACGAACGCUGGCGGCAUGCCUAACACAUGCAAGUCGAACGAGAUCUUCGGGUCUAGUGGCGCACGGGUGCGUAACGCGUGGGAAUCUGCCCUUUGGUUCGGAAUAACAGUUGGAAACGACUGCUAAUACCGGAUGAUGACGAAAGUCCAAAGAUUUAUCGCCAGAGGAUGAGCCCGCGUAGGGUUAGCUAGUUGGUGUGGUAAAGGCGCACCAAGGCGACGAUCCUUAGCUGGUCUGAGAGGAUGAUCAGCCACACUGGGACUGAGACACGGCCCAGACUCCUACGGGAGGCAGCAGUGGGGAAUAUUGGACAAUGGGCGAAAGCCUGAUCCAGCAAUGCCGCGUGAGUGAUGAGGGCCUUAGGGUUGUAAAGCUCUUUUACCCGGGAUGAUAAUGACAGUACCGGGAGAAUAAGCUCCGGCUAACUCCGUGCCAGCAGCCGCCGUAA
rnacentral:rRNA from 1 species